UUUGAUAUUUCUUCUUUAUGAUGUUGAGAUUUUGGAUUGAUUACUUUUUGUUCCUUUGUUGAUAAUUAUGGAUUUAUACUUUGCUCUGAUAUCAGGAUAAAAUGUUUAUAUGUUCUUCCUAUCGACUUGUUUUUCGUAGACGCCUUAUAUACUGCAGGUGUAUGGCGGGUCUGUGCACGUACCGGAUAUGCUUCCGCUGGUACCCGGGGCGUGACAGUUCGAUAUGUUACACCAUCUAUGAUCAAGGUGCCAUAAAGUAUCAGGAUUAAUUCACUGCACCAUAGUAAGAUAAUGAGACAA
rnacentral:lncRNA from 1 species